rnacentral:rRNA from 1 species
GAUGAACGCUGGCGGCGUGCCUAAUACAUGCAAGUCGAGCGAACAGACGAGGAUCUUGCUCCUCUGACGUUAGCGGCGGACGGGAGAGAAACACGUGGAUAACCUACUUAUAAGACGGGGAUAACUUCGUGAAACCGGAGCUAAUAGCGGAGAAUAUAUUGAACCGCAUGGGUCAAUAGUGAAUGACGGUGUUGCGGUCACUAAUAGAUGGAUACGCGCCGCAUUGGCUGGUUGGUAAGGUAACGGGUUAUGAAGGGUACGAUGCGUAGGCGACCUGAUGGAGUGGUCGCCCACACUGGAGCUGGGACGCCGUCCAGGGUCCUGCGGGAGGCCGCAGUCGGGAAUCUGCCGCAGUGGUCGGAAGCAUGACGGAGCAGCGCCACGCGAGAGAUGAAAGUCUUCGGAGCGUAAUGCUCUGUUAUUAGGGGAAAACAGAUGUGUAAGUAACUAUGCACGUCUUGACGGUACCUGGUAAAAAAGCCACGGCUAACUACGUG